UACAGAGGGUGCAAGCGUUAAUCGGAAUUAUUGGGCGUAAAGGGCUUGUAGGUUGUUCUAUAAGUUAGAUGUGAAACCCCUGGGCUUAACCUGGGACGUGCAUUUAAUACUGUAGGACUAGAGUAGGGCAGAGGAGUGGGGAAUUCCUGGUGUAGCAGUGAAAUGCGUAGAGAUCAGGAGGAACAUCAGUGGCGAAGGCGCCACUCUGGGCUCAUACUGACACUGAGGAGCGAAGGCGUGGGGAUCAAACAGG
rnacentral:rRNA from 1 species